CUGGGGCUACAGCUCAGUUGGUAGAGUGCUUGCCUCACAUGCACAAGGCUCUGGGUUCAAUCUUCAAUCCCUAGC
rnacentral:tRNA from 1 species